rnacentral:rRNA from 1 species
AGUGAACGCUGGCGGUAGGCCUAACACAUGCGAGUCGAACGGCAGCACAGUAAGAGCUUGCUCUUACGGGUGGCGAGUGGCGGACGGGUGAGGAAUACAUCGGAAUCUACUUUUUCGUGGGGGAUAACGUAGGGAAACUUACGCUAAUACCGCAUACGACCUACGGGUGAAAGCAGGGGAUCUUCGGACCUUGCGCGAUCGAAUGAGCCGAUGUCGGAUUAGCUAGUUGGCGGGGUAAAGGCCCACCAAGGCGACGAUCCGUAGCUGGUCUGAGAGGAUGAUCAGCCACACUGGAACUGAGACACGGUCCAGACUCCUACGGGAGGCAGCAGUGGGGAAUAUUGGACAAUGGGCGCAAGCCUGAUCCAGCCAUACCGCGUGGGUGAAGAAGGCCUUCGGGUUGUAAAGCCCUUUUGUUGGGAAAGAAAAGCAGCAGGUUAAUACCCCGCUGUUCUGACGGUACCCAAAGAAUAAGCACCGGCUAACUUCGUG